GGGCGAUGGAACACUCAUGGUAGACUCCC
rnacentral:misc_RNA from 1 species